rnacentral:rRNA from 1 species
AAAUUGAAGAGUUUGAUCAUGGCUCAGAUUGAACGCUGGCGGCAGGCCUAACACAUGCAAGUCGAACGGUAACAGGAAACAGCUUGCUGUUUCGCUGACGAGUGGCGGACGGGUGAGUAAUGUCUGGGAAACUGCCUGAUGGAGGGGAUAACUACUGGAAACGGUAGCUAAUACCGCAUAACGUCGCAAGACCAAAGAGGGGGACCUUAGGGCCUCUUGCCAUCGGAUGUGCCCAGAUGGGAUUAGCUAGUAGGUGGGGUAA